ACGGCGAGUGAAGCGGCAACAGCUCAAAUUUGAAAUCUGGCUUCUUUGGAGUCCGAGUUGUAAUUUGUAGAGGAUGUUUCGGGUACCGCAACGGCUUAAAUUUCUUGGAACAGAAUGUCAUGGAGGGUGAGAAUCCCGUCUGGAGUCGCGGUAGGGCCCAUGUGAAACUCCUUCGACGAGUCGAGUUGUUUGGGAAUGCAGCUCAAAAUGGGUGGUAAAUUUCAUCUAAAGCUAAAUAUUGGCCAGAGACCGAUAGCGCACAAGUAGAGUGAUCGAAAGAUGAAAAGCACUUUGAAAAGAGAGUUAAACAGUAUGUGAAAUUGUUGAAAGGGAAGCGCUGGCAAUCAGACUUGUGUGCGGAGGUUCCCCCUUGCUUCUGCUUGGGUUACUCCUCCGUAUCCAGGCCAACAUCGGUUUGGGUGGUUGGUUAAAGACCUUGGGAAUGUAUCUUUCCCCGGAAAGACUUAUAGCCCAGGGUGUCAUGCAGCCUACCCGGACCGAGGAACGCGCUUCGGCUCGGAUGUUGGCGUAAUGGUUGUCAGCGACCCGUCUUGAAACACGGACCAAGGAGUCUAACAUCUAUGCGAGUGUUAGGGUGUCAAACCCUUGCGCGGAAUGAAAGUGAACGGAGGUAAGAAGCCUUAAGGCUGCAUUAUCGACCGAUCCUGAAGUUUACGGAUGGAUUUGAGUAAGAGCAUAGCUGUUGGGACCCGAAAGAUGGUGAACUAUGCCUGAAUAGGGUGAAGCCAGAGGAAACUCUGGUGGAGGCUCGCAGCGGUUCUGACGUGCAAAUCGAUCGUCAAAUUUGGGUAUAGGGGCGAAAGACUAAUCG
rnacentral:rRNA from 1 species